rnacentral:rRNA from 1 species
GUUUGAUCCUGGCUCAGAUUGAACGCUGGCGGCAUGCCUUACACAUGCAAGUCGAACGGCAGCACGGGAGCAAUCCUGGUGGCGAGUGGCGAACGGGUGAGUAAAGUAUCGGAACGUACCUUUCAGUGGGGGAUAACGUAGCGAAAGUUACGCUAAUACCGCAUAUUCUGUGAGCAGGAAAGCAGGGGAUCGCAAGACCUUGCGCUGAUGGAGCGGCCGAUAUCAGAUUAGCUAGUUGGUGAGGUAAAGGCUCACCAAGGCGACGAUCUGUAGCGGGUCUGAGAGGAUGAUCCGCCACACUGGGACUGAGACACGGCCCAGACUCCUACGGGAGGCAGCAGUGGGGAAUUUUGGACAAUGGGGGCAACCCUGAUCCAGCCAUGCCGCGUGAGUGAAGAAGGCCUCGGUGU